UCAGGAUGAACGCUAGCGGCAGGCCUAACACAUGCAAGUCGAACGGUAACAGGGAAAAGCUUGCUUUUCCGCUGACGAGUGGCGCACGGGUGCGCAACGCGUAUAGAACCUACCUUUUACUGGGAAAUAGCCCAUGGAAACGUGGAUUAAUGUCCCAUAAUAACAUUUGAUGGCAUCAUCUGAAUGUUUAAAGCUUUGGCGGUAGAAGAUGGCUAUGCGUCCCAUUAGUUAGUAGGCGAGGUAACGGCUCACCUAGGCUUCGAUGGGUAGGGGCCCUGAGAGGGGGAUCCCCCACACUGGUACUGAGACACGGACCAGACUCCUACGGGAGGCAGCAGUGAGGAAUAUUGGACAAUGGACGAAAGUCUGAUCCAGCCAUGCCGCGUGCAGGAAGACGGCCCUACGGGUUGUAAACUGCUUUUAUACGGGAAGAAUAAGGGGUACGUGUACCCCGAUGACGGUACCGUAAGAAUAAGGACCGGCUAACUCCGUGCCAGCAGCCGCGGUAAUACGGAGGGUCCGAGCGUUAUCCGGAAUCAUUGGGUUUAAAGGGUCCGCAGGCGGGCAAUUAAGUCAGGGGUGAAAGGCUGUGGCUCAACCAUAGCACUGCCCUUGAUACUGGUUGUCUUGAGUUAUAGUGAAGUGGCCGGAAUAUGUAGUGUAGCGGUGAAAUGCAUAGAUAUUACAUAGAACACCGAUUGCGAAGGCAGGUCACUAACUAUUGACUGACGCUGAUGGACGAAAGCGUGGGGAGCGAACGGGAUUAGAUACCCCGGUAGUCCACGCCGUAAACGAUGGAUACUAGCUGUCGGGCUUUCGGGCUCGGCGGCCAAGCGAAAGUGAUAAGUAUCCC
rnacentral:rRNA from 1 species